GAUGAAGAACGUAGCGAAGUGCGAUAAGUAAUGUGAAUUGCAGAAUUCCGUGAAUCAUCGAAUUUUUGAACGCAAAUUGCACUCUCCUCCGGGGAGUAUGCCUGUUUGAGGGUUGUUAAAAUAAAAAAAUCGAUGCGUCGCGUUUUUCGUGACGUCUUUCGGAGUUGGGUCAUCUUAAAAAGUAACGAUCUUUUUCAAGAGGCCUAAAAUUGAUCCCAAUUCGGGUACGAUUCGAGCGUGGUUAAUAACGUUCGUUCGAUCGGUACCGAAAACGUGUCUUAUUAGGUGCGACCAUCUCACAUGGUCUCGCGCCCAUAACGAUAUGAAAAUUUGACCUCAAAUCAGGUAGGAAUACCCGCCGAACUUAAGCAUAUCAAUAAGCGGAGGA
rnacentral:misc_RNA from 1 species